rnacentral:rRNA from 1 species
AGAACGAACGCUGGCGGCAGGCCUAACACAUGCAAGUCGAGCGCUGUAGCAAUACAGAGCGGCGCACGGGAGAGUAAUACGUGGGAACCUACCCUUUGGUUCGGAACAACGUCGGGAAACUGACGCUAAUACCGGAUAAGCCCUUCGGGGGAAAGAUUUAUUGCCGAAGGAUGGGCCCAUGUUGGAUUAGCUAGUUGGUGAGGUAAUGGCUCACCAAGGCUACGAUCCAUAGCUGGUCUGAGAGGAUGAUCAGCCUCACUGGGACUGAGACACGGCCCAGACUCCUACGGGAGGCAGCAGUGGGAAUAUUGGACAAUGGGGGAAACCCUGAUCCAGCCAUGCCGCGUGAGUGAUGAAGGCCUUCGGGUUGUAAAGCUCUUUUGGCGGGAGAUGAUGACGGUACCCGCAGAAUAAGCCCCGGCUAACGUUCGCGCCAGCAGCCGC